rnacentral:rRNA from 1 species
AGUGAACGCUGGCGGUAGGCCUAACACAUGCAAGUCGAACGGCAGCACAGUAAGAGCUUGCUCUUACGGGUGGCGAGUGGCGGACGGGUGAGGAAUACAUCGGAAUCUACUUUUUCGUGGGGGAUAACGUAGGGAAACUUACGCUAAUACCGCAUACGACCUACGGGUGAAAGCAGGGGAUCUUCUGACCUUGCGCGAUUGAAUGAGCCGAUGUCGGAGUAGCUAGUUGGCGGGGUAAAGGCCCACCAAGGCGACGAUCCGUAGCUGGUCUGAGAGGAUGAUCAGCCACACUGGAACUGAGACACGGUCCAGACUCCUACGGGAGGCAGCAGUGGGGAAUAUUGGACAAUGGGCGCAAGCCUGAUCCAGCCAUACCGCGUGGGUGAAGAAGGCCUUCGGGUUGUAAAGCCCUUUUGUUGGGAAAGAAAAGCAGCAGGUUAAUACCCCGCUGUUCUGACGGUACCCAAAGAAUAAGCACCGGCUAACUUCGUG